rnacentral:rRNA from 8 species
GAGACCUCAGGUCAGGCGGGGCUACCCGCUGAGUUUAAGCAUAUCAAUAAGCGGAGGA